UUGCACGCUGGCGGCAUGCCUUACACAUGCAAGUCGAACGGUAACAGGUCUUCGGAUGCUGACGAGUGGCGAACGGGUGAGUAAUACAUCGGAACGUGCCCAGACGUGGGGGAUAACGAGGCGAAAGCUUUGCUAAUACCGCAUACGAUCUAAGGAUGAAAGCAGGGGACCGCAAGGCCUUGUGCGUUUGGAGCGGCCGAUGGCAGAUUAGGUAGUUGGUGGGAUAAAAGCUUACCAAGCCGACGAUCUGUAGCUGGUCUGAGAGGACGACCAGCCACACUGGGACUGAGACACGGCCCAGACUCCUACGGGAGGCAGCAGUGGGGAAUUUUGGACAAUGGGCGAAAGCCUGAUCCAGCAAUGCCGCGUGCAGGAUGAAGGCCUUCGGGUUGUAAACUGCUUUUGUACGGAACGAAAAGGCUCUGGCUAAUACCUGGGGCACAUGACGGUACCGUAAGAAUAAGCACCGGCUAACUACGUG
rnacentral:rRNA from 1 species